AAAACGGCCCUUUUUUGGGCCAUAACAAUUAUUUCUUAAAGAGUUAU
rfam:Phlebotomus papatasi Contig38346.1, whole genome shotgun sequence.